GCCCCCGUAGCCCAACGGCAGAGGCAAGCCGCUUAAAACGGUUCAAGUGCCGGUUCGAAUCCGGUCGGGGGCA
rnacentral:tRNA from 1 species